GCAAAUGAAAUGGCCCACCAAAUUCAGCUACAAGUUUAUAUAUCCUCUUCAGCAGCCACCUAUCUUGUUACUAAUAAUUUAAGCCGUCUAUAUAUCUCUCUCUGUCUCUGCUAUUAUUUGAUCAUCAUCAUCAUCAUCUCAUUCUCCAAAUCUCACCACCCUUUUUUUAUCAUCACACUCUUCUGCUUCACUCAAACCUUCCACAAACCUGUUAUUUUUAAUACUCCAAAUCCAUAAGUUGUUGCUCAAUAUGCUGGGAAAUUCAGUAAAUUUAAGCAUAAUUUGGGGAAAUUUAUGAGAUUUGCUCACUAUCUAUUUUAGUUUAGUCUUGUAAUUGGCUUCAUGCUAAACUAAAGUGCUUAUAAAUUAUAAUUCUCAGUAAAAACAGGUACUUAUAAUUCUCAGUAAUUCUUCUCGGUUCAACAUGGCAAUAAUACUGAAUGCUUGAGACUUGUGACAAGUGCUUUAGGCUCUUCACUUCAUAGUAACCAUCUCUUUUUUGCACAUUUGCUACUUUACCUAAGCAGAGAAUUCAGGUAUUGUUUGGAGCUAGGAACUAAUUCUUAUAUUGGCUGGAUCUGUCUAAAGUUUAUUGAAUCCACAAGAUGAUUCAACCAUUUUGGCUCUGAAAUUUGAAGAUUGCUCCAAAGAUCUCAAGACAUCAUGUUUGGUGAUUAUGUUGCUGUCACAAGCAUGCUGUGUAGCUGAUGGCGAGAGUUGUUUCUUUCUCUUACCCUUUUGUGCCUGCAUUCAUAUUUCAAUCCGGAAACCUGAAAACACUUACUAUCUGGAAAUAUUGCUUGAGAUACAAACUCAUUGAACACCACUCUGUUAAUUUUACCAGCAGCUUAUUUUAAUGCUGUCACUACCCUUGGCUUUAUUUGAACUCAGGUGCCAUUUGCAUGGAGCUCGCCAUUACAUAACACGAGCCGUGACAAGUCUCAAGAAAGCAAAAGACCCCUCUUCUGCUCCUUUGCCCAUUGUUUCACUGAAGGAAGCCUUGGCUCAAAAGAGAAGUGGCUAAUCAACCUUCGCGAUGAAUGGUUUUCCUGGCCUCCAGAAAACCGAUCUGCUGAGCUCCUAUUUCAAAUGCAUUUGCUAUCUAGGGAGUCAUCUCAUGGUGACAGUUCAAUGAGAUGGAUUCUUCGAGCAAUCCAUAUGAAUCCUUCAUGUUCGAAUGGCCCUGCUGCAGUUUCGUUUUCGCUGUCAGUGAAGUUUAUGCUUAGAUGGAGGUGGAAUGGUGGAUGCAUCUGUACAUUGUAUUCCUGUUGUGAGUCAACUGUGUAGAUACAAUGAGCAUUUAUGCCUAAACUAAGCACUUCUCUC